rnacentral:lncRNA from 1 species
GGAUUUUGGGGGUUAUUGGGAUUUUAUUUUAUUUUUUUCCCAAAACUGAAUUUUGACUCUCUUUUCCAAAAAAAUUUUGCCGUCUAUUCUUCUACCUCUCCUCAUGCUGAAAUUCUCUGAGUUUUUCCAUCUUUCUUUUCUUUUUCUUCUUUUUGAGUUUUCCUUAAUCCAUUUAUUUUCCUUCGUUUUCGCAUGCGGUUGGUGCUCGC